UUCGGGAAACCGGAGCUAAUACCGGAUACGUUCUUUUCUCGCAUGAGAGAAGAUGGAAAGACGGUUUACGCUGUCACUUAUAGAUGGGCCCGCGGCGCAUUAGCUAGUUGGUGAGGUAAUGGCUCACAAGGCGCGACGAUGGUUAGCCGACCUGAGAGGGUGAUCGGCCACACUGGGACUGAGACACGGCCCAGACUCCUACGGGAGGCAGCAGUAGGGAAUCUUCCGCAGUGGACGAAAGUCUGACGGAGCAACGCCGUGUGAACGAAGAAGGCCUUCGGGUCGUAAAGUUCUGUUGUUAGGGAAGAACAAGUACCAGAGUAACUGCUGGUACCUUGACGGUACCUAACCAGAAAGCCACGGCUAACUACGUGCCAGCAGCCGCGGUAAUACGUAGGUGGCAAGCGUUGUCCGGAAUUAUUGGGCGUAAAGCGCGCGCAGGUGGUUCCUUAAGUCUGAUGUGAAAGCCCACGGCUCAACCGUGGAGGGUCAUUGGAAACUGGGGAACUUGAGUGCAGAAGAGGAAAGUGGAAUUCCAAGUGUAGCGGUGAAAUGCGUAGAGAUUUGGAGGAACACCAGUGGCGAAGGCGACUUUCUGGUCUGUAACUGACACUGAGGCGCGAAAGCGUAGGGAGCAAACAGGAUUAGAUACCCUGGUAGUCCACGCCGUAAACGAUGAGUGCUAAGU
rnacentral:rRNA from 1 species